rnacentral:rRNA from 1 species
UACGUAGGGUGCGAGCGUUGUCCGGAUUUAUUGGGCGUAAAGAGCUCGUAGGCGGCUUGUCGCGUCGGAUGUGAAAGCCCCGGGGCUUAACUCCGGGUCUGCAUUCGAUACGGGCAGGCUAGAGUGUGGUAGGGGAGAUCGGAAUUCCUGGUGUAGCGGUGAAAUGCGCAGAUAUCAGGAGGAACACCGGUGGCGAAGGCGGAUCUCUGGGCCAUUACUGACGCUGAGGAGCGAAAGCGUGGGGAGCGAACAGG